rnacentral:rRNA from 1 species
GGGGUGCUCGAGUGGCGAACGGGUGAGUAACACGUGAGUAACCUGCCCUUGACUUUGGGAUAACUUCAGGAAACUGGGGCUAAUAACGGAUAGGAGCUCCUGCUGCAUGGUGGGGGUUGGAAAGUUUCGGCGGUUGGGGAUGGACUCGCGGCUUAUCAGCUUGUUGGUGGGGUAGUGGCUUACCAAGGCUUUGACGGGUAGCCGGCCUGAGAGGGUGACCGGCCACAUUGGGACUGAGAUACGGCCCAG